rnacentral:sRNA from 2 species
ACUCAACACGAAUUCUUUGAGAAGGGUGAGUUUAAGUUGUAAAAGCGUGCCGUAUCCCUCGGGAAAGCGGAUUCUUGAGCAGCUUGUUAGCCCUAAACCUGAUUUUAAAGAGUUU